rnacentral:rRNA from 1 species
CUUUAUCAUCAGCAGUCAAGAAUAUUAGUCAAUGCUCGAAAGAGUGAACUAGCUAACUGAAAUCAAUAAAAUAAUUGAUAACAUAAGGGAAAAUGAUGAUAUUACCUUAUUAAUAGUGUCGUCCAAAACUGGUGCCAGAAGACUCGGUAAGGCCAGAGACACAAACGUUAAUCGUCUUAAUCAGGCGUAAAGGGUUUGUAGGCGGCUUUAAAAUUUAUUUAUACAAAUUAAAUAAUAAAUAAAGAAUAAAAGCUAGAAUCAAAUAGAGGAUAUAUGAAAUAAUGCUUAGAGUAGGUCCGAUAUCCUUAGAUACUAAGUAGAAUAUUAAAGGCGAAAGCUUUUUUCCAUUAAUGAUUGACGCUCAGAAACGAAGGUGAGGAUAGGAAAUAGGAUUAGAUACCCAGAAUACCCCUCUCUGUCAACGAUGAAUGGUAGUUAUUAGUAAAAAUUAUUAAUGGCAAUGUUAACACGAUAACCAUUCCGCCUUGUGAGUACAACUGCAAAGUUGAAAACAAAAAAAUUAGUCGGUUUCGGAGCAAACGAAGUGAAGCAUGUUAUUUAAUUCGAUAAUCCGCACAGCUGAUAUCU